rnacentral:lncRNA from 1 species
CUCCCAAUUUUGGGGUGGUUUUGGGGUGGUUUCUCUCCCAAUUUUGGGGUAUUUCUCUCCCAGUUUUGGGGUAUUUCUCUGCCGUAUUUUGGGGACAUUUCGGGCUGUUUCUCUCCCAUUUUCGGGGCGGUGUUUUGGGUUAUUUCUCUCCGGUUUUGGGGGUGGUUUCUCUCCCAAUUUUGGGGUGGUUUUGGGGUGGUUUCUCUCCCAUUUUUGGGGUGGUUUUGGGGUGUUUUUCUGCCAUUUUUGGGGGGAAGUUUUGGGGUAGUUUGGUGCCAUUUUUGGGGCAUUUCUCUGCCAUAUUUUGGGGACAUUUCGGGCCGUUUCUCUCCCAUUUUUGGGGCGGUGUUUUGGGUUAUUUCUCUGCCAUUUCUGGGUGGUUUCUCUCCCAAUUUUGGGGCAUUUCUCUGCCAUAAUUUGGGGACAUUUCGGGCCGUUUCUCUCCCAUUUUCGGGGCGGUGUUUUGGGUCAUUUCUCUCCGGUUUUGGGGGUGGUUUUGGGGUAUUUCUCUGCCAUUUUCGGGGCGGUGUUUUGGGUUAUUUCUCCCCGGUUUUGGGGGUGGUUUCUCUCCCAAUUUUGGGGUAUUUCUCUCCCAUUUUCGGGGCGGUGUUUUGGGUCAUUUCUCCC